rnacentral:rRNA from 1 species
GACGGAGGAUGCAAGCGUUAUCCGGAAUGAUUGGGCGUAAAGCGUCCGCAGGUGGCAGUUCAAGUCUGCUGUCAAAGACCGGGGCUUAACUUCGGAAAGGCAGUGGAAACUGAACAGCUAGAGUAUGGUAGGGGCAGAGGGAAUUCCUGGUGUAGCGGUGAAAUGCGUAGAGAUCAGGAAGAACACCCGUGGCGAAGGCGGCUUUCUAGGAUAUACCUGACACUGAGAAGCGACAGCUAGGGGAGCAAACAGG